CAGAACAACACACUCUCUUUUGGAGGUGUCACUGCUUGCAAGCAUUAAACGAAGAUCUCAAAAUACUUUAUAUAGAUAUUUUGUUUCUUUGCAUAUUUGCCUAACUCAUCUUUUACUCUAAGACAGCAGCUGAUUUUAAGUUGAGACGACAUUUUGGGAGACUCGUCCGAGUUUGUCUGCUGUAGGAUUGCUGUGAGGCGUACUCUCCAGGUACAACUGUAUACAGCCAGCAAUUUUGUCCUGGAGGCUAGCUUCUCCCUGGGCAGGGUAACUGACUGCAGGGAGGGGAUCACGGAUUCAUUUCAGCACGACAUCCCAAGGGAAUACAUUUAAAAAGGAGAUAAACUGGACCGCGACCUGGCCUUUCCCUCUGGUUCUCAAGUACAGAGCCCGACCCUCCUGAUCUGGAUGACGCUCAAGCCCUCCGCAGAACUCUUCAUUCUCCUCCGCCAUAUGAUGGACAAAAAUCUGAAUCAACAACAAGGCUGUGUGCAGAACACCAUGCCGACAGAGAUCUACUCUGCAACAGUCCCUCAGGGAAAGGGUGUGAAGCCCCUCUGGAAGCAGGUGUUUUAACCCCCGGAGGGCCACUUUCAGGCUGGGAACAAUACGGGACAGGAAAGACAGUUGCAUUUUGAUGCCCAUUGUUGACAUUCUUAAUCCUAGAGGCGAUGUAAAUGAUGCAGGAAUCACGUAUGUUUUCCGUCCCUGGUCUCCAAGGGAUUUGAGAGAAGCUAUAAACAACCUGCAUAACCCAGUUGAGAUUUGGGAAGGACAUUUGAAACCUGUCCUCACCUAUGACCGCCCUGCUGGAAAAGCAAUGAACAAUGCUACUGAAGAAUUAACGAAAAGAAAAGAUAAGACUGGAAAGCGUUUGCAGACGGCACAGCUCCAGGCUUUUGAACAGCAGAUUCAAAGGGGCAGAAGGACAUCAAGUAGAGGAAGAGGCAGAGGGUCCAAAAGACAAAGAGGAUGUUUCCGCUGUGGUUCAUUGGAACAUCGGAUUAAAGAUUGUAUGGAACUGAAGGGAGGAGUAGCAAUAUGAAGAAGAAGAAGGUGGGACUGUUUUCAAGCCUGCAAGGUCACAGAGUGAGAGGAGGUCGGGAGCGCUGGGGCUUGAGAUAACCAGAGGAGACAAGGAGCAAGGAACAAGGAACUGGAAAUGAAUACUCACGGAGAGCUGUCCAGGCAGUACUACAGGAAGGUCUCUGAGGGUCCCAGGGCUGGUCGGGGACAUCACCGAUAUAGAGGGUCGGUCCAUCUUUUGCGACUCAAAGGAACUGGAGCCUGCUGUUAUAGAUGACAGUUGUUGUUAGAAAUCACAGAGAAAGCACAACCUUCUUGUCAUCCAACGGUCAAAUUUGGCCUGUUUCUCAACCCAUAAUUAAAAAGUUUUUCAUUUUUUUUACUCGAAAAAUAAGGUUCAAUUGAAUUCUUACUGCCUAUGCUUAACACUGGAUUGUAUCCAUCUCACGCAUGCGCAGGUCGUGUAUUUAAUAUCAACAAAGUCACAUAGCCAGCCCCGCCUAUAUAGAGUAAUAGUUGAGAGAACUAUUACACCAAAGAGCCCCGCCAUGGUAAAGCCCCAGUAGGUUAGGGUUAGGGUCAUUUUGACUCUAGUAUGAGUCUGGGGAGCUUCUUUUCUGGUGAGUGCUUUUGCUCAGAAGUAACCUUUUAUCUCCCUCUCUGGUUCUCACUGAUGGAGACAACCAGUCCAUUGGGACAGGCGCAUCCAUGGCCAGAUUGGCCCCUUUAUGCAUUUCCACCGUUUCCGCUGAUAGGGGCAACUCUACACAGGGUUCACCGAGGCAACCACAGGCUUCUGUUGGGUGCCCCAAACUGGCCAGGGAGACUCUGGUUUCCAGCGAUGUCCAGGCUACUGGAAGGAGAUCCAUGGUGCCUGCCCAGGAGACGGGACUUGGUCCUGGAAGCCCUCCUUUCCCCACCCUUUGAACCUCUGGAGCAGGCAGAGCUUAAAUGGCUUUCGGCAAAGGCCGCUUUUAAUUUAGCGAUGGCAUCAGCCAAGCGUGUGAGUGAGCUUCACGCCUUGUCAGCGAGUGAAACGUGCAUAGGCUGGUACUCAGGUGGAACAGGGCCUAACACAUAUUUUUUAUCAAAGAGGCUGCCUUCGGCCCACUUAAAUCAGGUCAUAGAGGUAGCAACUUAUGACUCCUCAGGCUUGCAGAACGUGGAUACUGGAUUCGUCGUGACUAUGUUGGUAAUAGUCCUCCAGUGUUAAGCACUGCCUCUGGCAGUAAGUAAGAAUGAAAUAGAACGAUAGUUGCGUAUGUAACUAUGGUUCUAUUCAUUCUGGAUGACCGCCGGAGUUCUCUGUCAAUCGGAAUCUUGGCGAGAAGAUACCUUUGGGACAUUUCUGACAGUGACCUGGGCUGAUAUGAGCGGGGCUGCCCUACGUCACCCCAGGUCACGUGUGACUUUGUUGAUUUUAAUACUUGACCUGCGCAUGCACGAGAUGGAUAACAUCCAGUGUUAAGCACUGCCUCUGGCCAUCAUCCAGAAUUCAUAGUUACGAAUUCAUAGAACCGUAGUUACAUACGUAACUAUCGUUUUAUUUUAUGUCAUUAAAGAUCAUACAGCUCAUAUUAACACUUACUAGAUUCUAGAGGAGGGUGGGAGGACUCUGGGAUUCUUGGGAUGUCGCUGCAAAAAGUGAAUAAAAGACCCAGUGAAUUCUCCAAUUUCAAAUACACAGAAUAAACAGAAUUGCAAUGGAAAAACACAGUUAGGACUUUACAUACAUCUUUGGAAAAUGAAUGGAUAAGAUUUAAGGAACACACAAUGGUAGAAGAAGGUCGAGCAAAUAGACAUUUACAUGUUAAACACACUGGGUAAUUUGGGUAUGAUAUGUUGAAAAAGUGAUUUAUUUUUCUGAUUUCAGGAUGUCAGGGAAGGCAUGAAGGAAAGGGGCUCCAACAUAGGGCUCCACCCAACACUACUUACUGAUAGGCUCUAUACACUUUUCUCAAGAAGUUUUUGGACAUAAUUCGGUUGAUAGAGCUUUGAGAUAAAGGAAGAAACAUUUUUAAAAAGUGUCUGUUAUUGCAGUCACUCAAGUACUUUAAUGAUAGUUAUUACAUGUUGUGAUGAUAAUCUUACCCUAUAGGCCUUGAAACAACUAUUUCCACUUGAGGUUCAGCCUUGGAUUCAAGGAUAAUGUUGUACACUUCUUUCUUUGUUGCUCCCGGCAACGACUUUCCAUUCCACUGCAACACCUCGUCACCUGGAACCAAGAUGGCCAACAUACAGAAUGAUGAUUCAGCAUGAGGCUCAUUUGGCACCACAUUUCACUGGAUACAUCCAUGUCAUAACAGAGAAUUGUAUAACUUAAAGGCAAAAGGGAUUGAAAUUCUUCUCACUUUUGAUUUUAGGUUGACAUACUUAGUUUGAAUUUAAAAAGAUACAUACAAGACACUGUGAAAUGUAUUUUGUUCACGGUUCUAUACAUAAGUAACACAGAUGGGGAUUCAAGUUUGGUUGAAGAGUCGCAGAAAGUCCUGUAAGAGGUCUCUAGCUCAAAGACUUGACUCAAACUGUAGUUCCAAUACUUGGAACUUUACUUGGACUUUAGAUCAAAGACUUAAGACUUGAUCUGGACUGUAGUUCAACGGCUUGGCACUUUCCUUGGACUUUGGAUCAAAGACUUAAGACUUGAUCUGGACUGUAGUUCAACGACUUCCGGCUCGACUUGGAAUUUACCUUAAAAUACCUGCAACUUGACUUGGACGCUAGCUCAAAUAACUGAGACCUGAUUUGGACCUGACCCUCAAAGACUUUAGACUUUUCUUGGACUGUAGCUUCAAGACUCAAUAAUUGACUUGGACUCAAGUUUAAAGACUUUGAACUUGACUUGGAAUCUAGCUGAAAGACUUAAGAGUAGAUUUUGGCUUACUGCUCAAAGACUUGAAACUUGAUAUGGACUUUAGUUUUAAGACUUCCUGACUUGGAUUGAAUUCUAGCUUCAGACUUGACGUGGAAUAUAGCUCAAAUAUUUUAGCGAUUGACUUGGACUGCAGAUAAAAGCUUGAUACUUGACCUAAAGUCUACCUCAAAGACUGAAGAGUUGAUUUUGAAUGUAGCUCAAAGACUUGAGACUCGUCUUGGCAUUGACCCUCAAAGACUUGAUACUUGACUUUGAUACUAGUUUUAAGACUUGAAACUUGACUUGGACUUGAAUAAAAGGGCUUGUGAGCAUCUCUGAUAUGUGGUGAUGGCUUCAAGACGUGUCAAAACUCACAGCAAUGGGUUGUCCUGUAACCUCUGCACUCUGUACGUUAGGCUACAACAUAAGUCUAAUCACGAUUCUGAGUAAGAUAGGGGUUCUCAGCGAUGGCUAACAAUGUCAACCCACAGACUGUGUGUCUGUUGACAAUGAACCAUUGUUGGUGUCCACUCCUGGAUAAAUAUGAAUUAUAUAACCUUGACUUGCUACCCUACAUAAGGUACAAAAGCAGCUGCAUAAAAACAAUAUGUUCGCACCCGCUCGUAGGUGUCCAACAACAUCUGCAAGGCUGCCUUUCUUGACUUUGGUGAUGAAGGCCCCAAGUCUCCCCAUCUCUGUCAUCUUCCCUCCUACCACCUUGGGAGAACGGAGAAUGCAUAAGAAUAUUAGUUUAUGUCUCCAGUUCUCUGCAGGAUUCAGUAAUUGCUUAACAUACACAUUUGUUUCAUGGAAAACUCUUUACCUUUUUAAUUUGUCUUGCCAAGCACGACAUACAGCUAACAGAUUUUCAAAUGUUACUUUUUCCAAUUAUAACUACUCUAGCACUAACAAACACAAAUAAGGUAUUUACAAGCAAGAUUCAGGUGUGAAUGUGAUCAAUUCUAUGCUUACUUUCAGGCCGAGGAGAGAGCCAGCCUCACGGGGCAUUGCCGAUCUCUUGCUCAGCGUGAUGCGUCCGAUCAGGUGGUCACCCUCUUUGGAUGGCUGCCAUGUAACUGGAUGCUACAGGAAACGUUAUGAGGCAAUGUGAAAGGGGGUAUGGAAAGACAUAAGGAGAAGAAAGAGGAGGAAAGCAAAUGUUUUAAGUCAUUGGUUAAUUUUGUAUUGUUUGGAUUUCAUUUGUAUCAAUGCAUUUAGGAAUAAAUGCAUUUGUUUGGUUCUGUGCAUGAGUAACAGUAAGAACUCAGGACUGAGGCAGUUUAUUUAUGUUCAGAAUUUGUAAUGUUUUUGCUGAAACUUACAUGCCACACUGUAGGAUCUAGAGAAUGACAGUCCCAGUCACCUGCACAGAGAAAGAGAAGGAGGCGUUAUUUGUCCUGAAAGAUAUUGACACAGAUUGGGGUGAUGAUGACGACAGGAUGAACAAGUCCGGAAGAAGGCUAGCUCUGUAGUUGGACUUAAAUUGGAUAAUCUGAAGAAAGUGGUGGAGCGGAAAGAGAAAGAUGGACGCAUCAUGGAAAACCCCUCCCACUCCACAAAUUCAGCCAAGGACUCAUCCCUUCGUCAAAGUGUCUUGGACAAUCCUUUGUACCAGUAGCCAUCACACUCAACAAUCAAGGAUAAACCGCUUUCCUAACGUGGUCAUUUCCUUAAACAUAGUAUAGGGAUGGCUAAAGAUGUAGUCCAUUUGGCAGCAACCAUGUAACCAGCACCACCUUGACAAAUAUAUGUUUUAAUUUGUGCACCAAUUAAACCUUGAAAUAACAGCUUCUUGCUUCUUGCACUUCUUGAACUUGGUGAGCGGUGCAACUUCCAAUGGGAAGUAGGACUUAACCAACCUUAACCCAACUAUUUCGCAGUCAUAUUUGAUUGAUAAAAUACUUUUUGAUGUGCUCUACCUCUUGUUCUUGUGAUUUAGAGUUUAGUUUAUGUGCAGAAUAUGUGUUACUAAAGUAACGCUAACUGCUAACUGAAGCUAACAUUAAACGCUGAGAGACUGUUA